GGGUUGUGAGGUUAAGCGACUAAGCGUACACGGUGGAUGCCCUGGCAGUCAGAGGCGAUGAAGGACGUGCUAAUCUGCGAUAAGCGUCGGUAAGGUGAUAUGAACCGUUAUAACCGGCGAUUUCCGAAUGGGGAAACCCAGUGUGUUUCGACACACUAUCAUUAACUGAAUCCAUAGGUUAAUGAGGCGAACCGGGGGAACUGAAACAUCUAAGUACCCCGAGGAAAAGAAAUCAACCGAGAUUCCCCCAGUAGCGGCGAGCGAACGGGGAGCAGCCCAGAGCCUGAAUCAGUGUGUGUGUUAGUGGAAGCGUCUGGAAAGGCGCGCGAUACAGGGUGACAGCCCCGUACACAAAAAUGCACAUGCUGUGAGCUCGAUGAGUAGGGCGGGACACGUGGUAUCCUGUCUGAAUAUGGGGGGACCAUCCUCCAAGGCUAAAUACUCCUGACUGACCGAUAGUGAACCAGUACCGUGAGGGAAAGGCGAAAAGAACCCCGGCGAGGGGAGUGAAAAAGAACCUGAAACCGUGUACGUACAAGCAGUGGGAGCACGCUUAGGCGUGUGACUGCGUACCUUUUGUAUAAUGGGUCAGCGACUUAUAUUCUGUAGCAAGGUUAACCGAAUAGGGGAGCCGAAGGGAAACCGAGUCUUAACUGGGCGUUAAGUUGCAGGGUAUAGACCCGAAACCCGGUGAUCUAGCCAUGGGCAGGUUGAAGGUUGGGUAACACUAACUGGAGGACCGAACCGACUAAUGUUGAAAAAUUAGCGGAUGACUUGUGGCUGGGGGUGAAAGGCCAAUCAAACCGGGAGAUAGCUGGUUCUCCCCGAAAGCUAUUUAGGUAGCGCCUCGUGAAUUCAUCUCCGGGGGUAGAGCACUGUUUCGGCAAGGGGGUCAUCCCGACUUACCAACCCGAUGCAAACUGCGAAUACCGGAGAAUGUUAUCACGGGAGACACACGGCGGGUGCUAACGUCCGUCGUGAAGAGGGAAACAACCCAGACCGCCAGCUAAGGUCCCAAAGUCAUGGUUAAGUGGGAAACGAUGUGGGAAGGCCCAGACAGCCAGGAUGUUGGCUUAGAAGCAGCCAUCAUUUAAAGAAAGCGUAAUAGCUCACUGGUCGAGUCGGCCUGCGCGGAAGAUGUAACGGGGCUAAACCAUGCACCGAAGCUGCGGCAGCGACACUAUGUGUUGUUGGGUAGGGGAGCGUUCUGUAAGCCUGUGAAGGUGUGCUGUGAGGCAUGCUGGAGGUAUCAGAAGUGCGAAUGCUGACAUAAGUAACGAUAAAGCGGGUGAAAAGCCCGCUCGCCGGAAGACCAAGGGUUCCUGUCCAACGUUAAUCGGGGCAGGGUGAGUCGACCCCUAAGGCGAGGCCGAAAGGCGUAGUCGAUGGGAAACAGGUUAAUAUUCCUGUACUUGGUGUUACUGCGAAGGGGGACGGAGAAGGCUAUGUUGGCCGGGCGACGGUUGUCCCGGUUUAAGCGUGUAGGCUGGUUUUCCAGGCAAAUCCGGAAAAUCAAGGCUGAGGCGUGAUGACGAGGCACUACGGUGCUGAAGCAACAAAUGCCCUGCUUCCAGGAAAAGCCUCUAAGCAUCAGGUAACAUCAAAUCGUACCCCAAACCGACACAGGUGGUCAGGUAGAGAAUACCAAGGCGCUUGAGAGAACUCGGGUGAAGGAACUAGGCAAAAUGGUGCCGUAACUUCGGGAGAAGGCACGCUGAUAUGUAGGUGAAGUCCCUCGCGGAUGGAGCUGAAAUCAGUCGAAGAUACCAGCUGGCUGCAACUGUUUAUUAAAAACACAGCACUGUGCAAACACGAAAGUGGACGUAUACGGUGUGACGCCUGCCCGGUGCCGGAAGGUUAAUUGAUGGGGUUAGCCGCAAGGCGAAGCUCUUGAUCGAAGCCCCGGUAAACGGCGGCCGUAACUAUAACGGUCCUAAGGUAGCGAAAUUCCUUGUCGGGUAAGUUCCGACCUGCACGAAUGGCGUAAUGAUGGCCAGGCUGUCUCCACCCGAGACUCAGUGAAAUUGAACUCGCUGUGAAGAUGCAGUGUACCCGCGGCAAGACGGAAAGACCCCGUGAACCUUUACUAUAGCUUGACACUGAACAUUGAGCCUUGAUGUGUAGGAUAGGUGGGAGGCUUUGAAGUGUGGACGCCAGUCUGCAUGGAGCCGACCUUGAAAUACCACCCUUUAAUGUUUGAUGUUCUAACGUUGACCCGUAAUCCGGGUUGCGGACAGUGUCUGGUGGGUAGUUUGACUGGGGCGGUCUCCUCCUAAAGAGUAACGGAGGAGCACGAAGGUUGGCUAAUCCUGGUCGGACAUCAGGAGGUUAGUGCAAUGGCAUAAGCCAGCUUGACUGCGAGCGUGACGGCGCGAGCAGGUGCGAAAGCAGGUCAUAGUGAUCCGGUGGUUCUGAAUGGAAGGGCCAUCGCUCAACGGAUAAAAGGUACUCCGGGGAUAACAGGCUGAUACCGCCCAAGAGUUCAUAUCGACGGCGGUGUUUGGCACCUCGAUGUCGGCUCAUCACAUCCUGGGGCUGAAGUAGGUCCCAAGGGUAUGGCUGUUCGCCAUUUAAAGUGGUACGCGAGCUGGGUUUAGAACGUCGUGAGACAGUUCGGUCCCUAUCUGCCGUGGGCGCUGGAGAACUGAGGGGGGCUGCUCCUAGUACGAGAGGACCGGAGUGGACGCAUCACUGGUGUUCGGGUUGUCAUGCCAAUGGCACUGCCCGGUAGCUAAAUGCGGAAGAGAUAAGUGCUGAAAGCAUCUAAGCACGAAACUUGCCCCGAGAUGAGUUCUCCCUGACUCCUUGAGAGUCCUGAAGGAACGUUGAAGACGACGACGUUGAUAGGCCGGGUGUGUAAGCGCAGCGAUGCGUUGAGCUAACCGGUACUAAUGAACCGUGAGGCUUAACCUUACAACGCCGAAGGUGUUU
rnacentral:rRNA from 1 species